rnacentral:rRNA from 1 species
AGAGUUUGAUCCUGGCUCAGAUUGAACGCUGGCGGCAGGCCUAACACAUGCAAGUCGAGCGGAUGAUGGGAGCUUGCUCCCGGAUUCAGCGGCGGACGGGUGAGUAAUGCCUAGGAAUCUGCCUGGUAGUGGGGGACAACGUUUCGAAAGGAACGCUAAUACCGCAUACGUCCUACGGGAGAAAGCAGGGGACCUUCGGGCCUUGCGCUAUCAGAUGAGCCUAGGUCGGAUUAGCUAGUUGGUGGGGUAAAGGCCUACCAAGGCGACGAUCCGUAACUGGUCUGAGAGGAUGAUCAGUCACACUGGAACUGAGACACGGUCCAGACUCCUACGGGAGGCAGCAGUGGGGAAUAUUGGACAAUGGGCGAAAGCCUGAUCCAGCCAUGCCGCGUGUGUGAAGAAGGUCUUCGGAUUGUAAAGCACUUUAAGUUGGGAGGAAGGGCAGUAAGUUAAUACCUUGCUGUUUUGACGUUACCAACAGAAUAAGCACCGGCUAACUUCGUGCCAGCAGCCGCGGUAAUACGAAGGGUGCAAGCGUUAAUCGGAAUUACUGGGCGUAAGCGCGCGUAGUGGUUUGGUAAAUGGAUUUGAAAUCCCCGG